UACAGAGGUCUCAAGCGUUGUUCGGAAUCAUUGGGCGUAAAGCGUGUGUAGGCGGCUUUGCAAGUCGGAUGUGAAAGCCCCGGGCUCAACCCGGGAAGUGCACUCGAUACUGCAGCGCUUGAGUGUCGGAGAGGUUGGUGGAAUUCUCGGUGUAGAGGUGAAAAUUCGUAGAUAUCGAGAGGAACACCGGCGGCGAAAGGCGGCCAACUGGACGAACACUGACGCUGAGAAGCGAAAGCAUGGGGGAGCGAACAGG
rnacentral:rRNA from 1 species